GGACGAACGCUGGCGGCGUGCUUAACACAUGCAAGUCGAGCGGAGAAUAUAGCAAUAUAUUCUUAGCGGCGGACGGGUGAGUAACGCGUGGGUAACCUGCCUUUUACAGGGGGAUAACACUGGGAAACUAGUGCUAAUACCGCAUAAAAUAGUGAAGUGGCAUCACUUUACUAUCAAAGGAGCAAUCCGGUAAAAGAUGGACCCGCGUCCGAUUAGCUAGUUGGAGGGGUAACGGCCCACCAAGGCGACGAUCGGUAGCCGAACUGAGAGGUUGAUCGGCCACAUUGGGACUGAGACACGGCCCAGACUCCUACGGGAGGCAGCAGUGGGGAAUAUUGCGCCAAUGGGGGAAACCCUGACGCAGCAACGCCGCGUGAAGGGUGAAGGUUUUCGGAUUGUAAACUUCUUUGAUUGGGGACGAUAAUGACGGUACCCAAAAAACAAGCCACGGCUAACUACGUGCCAGCCGCUGC
rnacentral:rRNA from 1 species